UGCAGUCGAACGGUAGCAGGAAGUGCUUGCACUUCGCUGACGAGUGGCGGACGGGUGAGUAAUGCUUGGGAACUUGCCUUUAGGUGGGGGAUAACAGUUGGAAACGACUGCUAAUACCGCAUAAUGUCUACGGACCAAAGGGGGCUUCGGCUCCCACCUUGAGAGAGGCCCAAGUGAGAUUAGCUAGUUGGUGGGGUAAAGGCCUACCAAGGCAACGAUCUCUAGCUGUUCUGAGAGGAAGAUCAGCCACACUGGGACUGAGACACGGCCCAGACUCCUACGGGAGGCAGCAGUGGGGAAUAUUGCACAAUGGGGGAAACCCUGAUGCAGCCAUGCCGCGUGUGUGAAGAAGGCCUUCGGGUUGUAAAGCACUUUCAGUUGUGAGGAAAGGUUGGUAGUUAAUACCUACCAGCUGUGACGUUAACAACAGAAGAAGCACCGGCUAACUCCGUGCCAGCAGCCGCGGUAAUACGGAGGGUGCGAGCGUUAAUCGGAAUUACUGGGCGUAAAGCGCACGCAGGCGGCUUGUUAAGCUAGAGGUGAAAGCCCCGCGCUCAACGUGGGAACUGCCUUUAGAACUGGCAGGCUAGAGUCUUGGAGAGGGGAGUGGAAUUCCAGGUGUAGCGGUGAAAUGCGUAGAUAUCUGGAGGAACAUCAGUGGCGAAGGCGGCUCCCUGGCCAAAGACUGACGCUCAUGUGCGAAAGUGUGGGUAGCGAACAGGAUUAGAUACCCUGGUAGUCCACACCGUAAACGCUGUCUACUAGCUGUUUGUGUAUUUAAUACGUGAGUA
rnacentral:rRNA from 1 species